CUCAAAUGUCAAAACGCAUAACACUUUAGCAAAACAUUGAAGAAAAUCCUAAAAUUCCAGAGUUUGUGGAUAAAUUUACUAAUAUUGGAUAGGAUAAUAUGGUAAGAAAAUUUUCCCGGAAAAAGCAUAUUGUGGCAGCUUGCAGCGGUCUGGAAAGCCAACCUCAAGUACGAUUACUUCAAGUGCAGACUUUCAGAAUCAAGGAUAAGGAAAUUCUUGAGGAUUGUCAAGAAACCGCUCAUAAAGUUUUGAAGAGAUAUGCUCAGCCACAAAACCAAACGCCACGUCAACAUGCAUUCGAAUUACAUAAGCUAGAUAGUCUCACGCAACAGGCUCGCGUUUGAAGGGAAGCCUGAUUAUGAUGCUUCCCAAAUCCAAAAAGCAAUAGGAUAAAUAGAAGAAAUUGCCAAUAUAUCGCGACCAUCAUUGAGGUCGAUGCACGUGAUUCCAAAGCUCCUUUUCGGAUAUAAUUUUUCAAAGAAACAUAUAACUGCGUAAAGAAAACUUCAGCCUAGUGAGACGAUUGGGAUGAAUCAUCCUAUAGAAGAAAAAAAAACCGAGAAUGGGAAAAAACCACAACGACCAAAGAUGCAACCGUUUAUGUUUUGUUGGAGGUUCCGAUCGAUAGCAGAUAUCAAAUUAUUCAAAUGUUAGAAGAACGUUAAGAAAUCAAAAUCUUCGAAAAUUAUUGUAAUUGGUGGUUCAGAAAAAAGCUAGGAAAUCAACGAAGAACUCAUGUAAAUCA